rnacentral:rRNA from 1 species
AUUGAACGCUGGCGGCAGGCCUAACACAUGCAAGUCGAGCGAGUGGCGGACGGGUGAGUAAUGUAUGGGGAACUGCCUGAUUGAGGGGGAUAACUACUGGAAACGGUAGCUAAUACCGCAUACCAUCAGAUGAACCCAUAUGGGAUUAGCUGGUAGGUGAGGUAACGCCUCACCUAGGCGAAGAUCCCUAGCUGGUCUCAGAGGAUGAGAAGCAAAACGGGAACUGAGACACGGCCCAGACGCCUACGGGAGGGAGCAGUGGGGAAUAGUGCACGAUGGGCGCAAGCCUGAUGCAGCCAUGCCGCGUGUAUGAAGAGGGCCUUCGGGUUGAAAAGUACUUUCAGUCGGGAGGCGUUACCGUCAGAAGAAGCACCGGCUAACUCCGUGCCAGCCGCCGCGGUAAUUC